AAAAAACACAUAUAAAACCACAAUUGCAUACAUUUGUACAUUGUAAGAUUUUAUACCGGGUCCUUCUCUGAAUUGGUCGACCAGAGCAGUGGAACUAACAUUUGACAUUUUGAAGUUAUUCUUUCUGUUCCCAUUCGGGAUUGAUAUCUACUCGGGGUGAGGGGGUGAGCUUAUUUACCCUCGCCAUCGGGUUAUACCCAUUCGGCGAGCACGCUACGUUUUACAGUAUUUCUACAGAUUUAAUAACAUUUUUAACAUCUCUUCUUUAAUCGUAGCGUGAGUGCUUCGGACUGUAUAUAUAUAAAUAUUCCUACACAGUAUGUACAAAUUUCUGGUUAAAAAUUCAAGAUUUAAAUAAUGUCUUAAGAAUCUAUCACAUACGCAUUAAAAUCAAACACUUCAAAUACAUCAUAGAAAUUAUGCUAUAAUUUUUCCUAUACAAACAUUUUAGGCUCAACCUACAUUUUAAAAAGAUGUCUAAAUUUAAAAAUUCUUUACACUAGUAAGUGUUUAUAUAUACAACGUAUCCUUGGCAUAAUAACAACUAGCUAGUGAGAUUAUUUUAUUUUUUUUCAAAUGACAGAUUUCUCACUAGUUAGUUUCCUAAACCAUCCCCAUCAGGGAUGGGGCGGUAUAAGCUGGUUUGCACUGAGGACUAAGCCUCAGUGCGUUUGCCUGGAUUUUGUUUUCCUUGACAUUCAAUAAAAAAUAAAAAAUAAAUAAAGAAAAGUGUGUUAUACAUGUAUAUAUAAGUGUCCAACUGUUGUUAUUGUUGUUCUUUUUUUCUUUUUUUUCUUUUUUGGACUGGUAUCGCUGUGUAACCAGGCAAACCAGGAUGAAGAAUAUAACGAUUCGCAGCUUAAGACUCCAUCCUAUGGUGUUACAAUAUGUGAAAGCGUUGCCAAGGACUGAUUAAAUUAUGAAAUAAAAUAGAGAUUGGUUGAUCCUCCGGGGUGUAUUUAAAAUAUCGCUAUUAAUAUUAGAACCGUUUCCGGAUGGUAGUUUAAUACUGGCAUAAACAAAGACUUUUCUAACUAUUAGAAAGAAAACGAUCCUUUUCAGGGCCACUGUUAAAAUAUUAUAUAAUAAUUUAAAAUGUUAUAUACAAUAUUUACAUAAAAAAAGGAUUCUCACCCCGGAGGAACGGUAAUUUGAUAAUAUACAACGGCUGGUGAAUUAUUAAAACAACAUAUAAACAAACUCCCCGACGCCCUUCUUCACAUAAAUGUAUGGGGUUUAAUACUUGAAAAAUAAAAAAGAAUUAAAUGUGAAUGCUUGUGCUAUUCUACAGGGGUGGCUCUGUUCAGUAUUACUAUUUUUCCCACCCUGGGAUAGAGAAAAGAACGAGUUCGCCAGGUGUCAUGAUUUAGGCUACAUGAAUACUCUCCAUUGAAGGAGAUACCAUGUGGGAGGAAAGUGUCACGUGACAAAUUCACUCAAUGGCGGAGGAUUAAACAGACGGACUAACGAAGGGAGUCUUGUGGUACUGAACGGAACCUUCCCUACACCUGACCUGGGUAGGAUAAAACUACCGGUGUCCUCGCCGACCGCCAUUCAUUUAUGACGUGCCGGCGGGCUAGUGAAUAGACCUCUGUGGGUGCAAGAGGGACCGGAUCAUUCACCUCCACACGCCUGAGGCCAUCCUUUGCAAGCCCGUCAACCACUUCAUUCCCCUUCAGGCCGACAUGAGCUGGGACCCAUACCAUGGCUUUGGAAGAGGCACAACAUGGGCUGUUUUCCACUCGGAAGGAACCACCCCACCCCGCCAGACCAUGUUAUACAGAUGCAGCCAGAUUUGAAGGGUUGCAUCCGGCAUGUGCCCAAACAUCAUAUAUGAUAUUCUAUCAGCCCCGGUGGCGGACUUUCUCCUGCUAGCAAUGGCUGACCUUACCUCACAAAGUGAGAAAGCCUUGGAGCAUUCGUCCGUCCACUAUGGGACCGUUUGACGUUUGGGCCGCUUACCGGAAGAGGAGGGAAUACAACUCUCAGCUAUGGAUAGAAUUUUAUCAGUCAACUGCCGAUUAAAAUGUUCCAGCUCAUCCAGAUCAAAGUCAGAGAGAGAGAGUCCCAGACACAAUCUUUUGAAUUCACACCAAUCAGCCUUUUCAAAGUUAAAGGAUGGUUGGCAAGUUUCAUGUGAAUUUAACCCUUCGAUAUUAACAUUGUUGAGGGCUAUAAGGCAAGGAAAGUGAUCCGACCCAAGAUUGCCGUCUAGGACCCCCCCACCCCCUGACGCGACACCUGCCAAACAGACACUGACUAUGGUGAGGUCAAUGCACGUGGAAUUACCUUGUGCAUCAAACCUGGUGGGUGCACCAUCAUUCAGGACUACCAAGUUUGAGUCUUCCAUCCAAGUACAGACGUCCUCACCGUAUUUACAGACUUUGGAGCAACCCCACACUGGUUGAUGUGCAUUGAAGUCCCCAGUGUAUACCAGUUUCAUUAUAUUUGUUUUACUCCGUAUAUUACUCUCGAGUGUAGUAAGAGCCUGAAUGUUACAGCCCCGAGAGUAGACAUUUAUAAGAACAAAGAGUUGGUGCUUUGUUGGGUAAACAAUAAUUGCCAGUGCCUCUAUGGCUGUGCCGCCAUCCUUUUUUAACGGAACAGUGAUUGGAAGAGUCUGGUAUUGGAUAGUGUGCUUUAUAUAAAUUGCUAACCCACCGGCUACAUUAUCAUUUAAGUUUGUAUGAUUUAUAAACUCUGUAUAAUAGCCGGGGAUUGAUUUUGAUGUACUCCCCUUAAAGUUAGUUUCUUGAAUGCACAAUAUAUCAAUACUAUUUAUAUCUGUUAGAUGUUUUAACUCUGAAUGUUUACUAGAUGAAAGACCCCCACAGUUGAAUGAUAAUAUUUUUAAAUCCCUAUCCAUUAAGAAUGUUGUUAAACCUGCAGAGGAGAUUAGACCUUUGGGUUUUGCUCAUUGGAGACUGGGAGUAAAGUCUACGACUCAUCCUCCCAGCCCUCAGUUUACCAGGUGUCGAGGGACCCUGCAGUGGUGCGCUGGCAAGUUUCGUGAUGACCACCUCAACCCUGCGGUCUUGAACUAAAUUUCCAGAAUUGCCUGCUUUUCUUUCAUUUUUUGUCUGGUUGUACAAUGGGCAGCCAUUAUGGUUGCGAUGACUCUGGCCUUUAAGAAAGAGACACACUGCCUGUAGGCAGCUGAGUGGGCAUCACCACAGUUUUUACAUCUGCGGUUUGGGUUUUUGCAAUCCCUAGUAGAAUGUAAACCAGCGCACCUAGCACAUGCUAAUGAAAGUGUACACUUAGGAGCCUUGUGACCAAACCCCUGACAUUUUAAACACCUAUCAGGGUCCUCUUGUCUAGGAUGAACGUAUAAGAUAAGGCUCGUGCCACCCACCCUGACGUACCUCGGGAGGCUCGAUAAAACUUAUCCCCACCAGCCGGGGUAAUCCCGGUGGUGGUGGGGCCUCCAGACACUCCAACCCCAAUAUAUGACACUGGACGCCUGGCGGCAACUCCAGACGAUCCCCAAGGCCCGCCAGGUCCUCAUUCUCGGGAACCCCAGCCAACACUCCACGAACUUUGUGUAGGGAAUGGGGUAGGGAAGCACGACAGUCAACCCCCAUGAGUUUAAAAAUGCCCAUAUUUAUUAACUUGACAAUUGCCUGGGCAUAAACCAGUUCCAGGAGAAGGGCCCCAGAGCCUAGUGGGACUGAUCGUUUGACCAGGCGGGGGAGGAGCUGACCCAGUUCUGAUGCCAGUUUGAUUAUGGACCCCUAGCUGGUCAGCUUCAACCCCCACCCGCCCACAAUAGCUCGAGGGAUACACUUGUGCAUCAUAGUGUUAUGAGUUAAAUGAUGACUAUCCCUGGUGCACAGUGCAUCCCCAAGCACAGGAGACAGGUAAUUUGACUGUCUCCUGGUAUUGUUUUUUGAAGAAAGGUAUCACCAGCCAUUGUUAACAAUUAAGUUUGUAAUAACAUCAACAAGCAAAUAAUAAAAUUUAAUGGGGAACCUAGCCCCUAUAUGUAGAAAUGCUAAGACUUUUGUAUAAGAUGUUGUGUAAAUAAUAUUGGUGUAAUAAAUAUUGCUAUUGUUAUCAAAAAUAAUAAAAAGUCCAAUGCACCGAUAAAUAAGCCCACAAAGUUUAUUGAAAUAAAGGUGGAACUACUUGACAUUUAAUUAAGUACUACUGAAGGGUUUAAAUUUAGAAUUUAGUUUAGUCAAGCAGUAGCC